rnacentral:rRNA from 1 species
AGUGAACGCUGGCGGUAGGCCUAACACAUGCAAGUCGAGCGGCAGCACAGAGGAGCUUGCUCCUUGGGUGGCGGGUGGCGGACGGGUGAGGAAUACAUCGGAAUCUACUCUGUCGUGGGGGAUAACGUAGGGAAACUUACGCUAAUACCGCAUACGACCUACGGGUGAAAGCAGGGGAUCUUCGGACCUUGCGCGAUUGAAUGAGCCGAUGUCGGAUUAGCUAGUUGGCGGGGUAAAGGCCCACCAAGGCGACGAUCCGUAGCUGGUCUGAGAGGAUGAUCAGCCACACUGGAACUGAGACACGGUCCAGACUCCUACGGGAGGCAGCAGUGGGGAAUAUUGGACAAUGGGCGCAAGCCUGAUCCAGCCAUACCGCGUGGGUGAAGAAGGCCUUCGGGUUGUAAAGCCCUUUUGUUGGGAAAGAAAUCCAUCUGGUUAAUACCCGGGUGGGAUGACAGUACCCAAAGAAUAAGCACCGGCUAACUACGUGCCAGCCGCCGCCGUAA